UACGUAGGGUGCGAGCGUUGUCCGGAAUUAUUGGGCGUAAAGAGCUCGUAGGCGGUCUGUCGCGUCGGUCGUGAAAACUUGGGGCUUAACCCUGAGCUUGCGGUCGAUACGGGCAUGACUGGAGUUCGGCAGGGGAGACUGGAAUUCCUGGUGUAGCGGUGAAAUGCGCAGAUAUCAGGAGGAACACCGGUGGCGAAGGCGGGUCUCUGGGCAACAACUGACGCUGAGGAGCGAAAGCGUGGGGAGCAAACAGG
rnacentral:rRNA from 1 species